rnacentral:rRNA from 1 species
UACGGAGGGUGCGAGCGUUGUCCGGAAUCAUUGGGCGUAAUGGGUGCGUAGGUGGCGGGGUAAGUCAGGUGUGAAAUCUCGGGGCUCAACCCCGAAACUGCAUUUGAUACUGCCUUGCUCGAGUACUGGAGAGGAGAUUGGAAUUUACGGUGUAGCAGUGAAAUGCGUAGAUAUCGUAAGGAAGACCAGUGGCGAAGGCGAAUCUCUGGACAGUUACUGACACUGAGGCGCGAAGGCCAGGGGAGCAAACGGG